GCCAGCUUACGAAGGACAGUGCUGAGCAGGUUAGACUUUUCCACUCCAUUUCUUUUCCUCCUACACUCCUCUCGUGUGCCGGAUCCUGCAGGGAGGGGUCGGAAGAAGGAGCCCGCAAGGCGGGGGGCGUGAGUGAGAGGGGAGAGAGAAGCAAGGGCGCAGCAGGCCCAGGGAGGAGACCAGAUUUAACUUUCAAUCACAUCUGAAGUUUUGAUGACGACAAGACACUUUUAAUUGCCUAAGUGACACAGUGUUUUGUGACUUAAAGCAACGACAGCACGUUUAUUGCCUGAGUGACCUGCAAAGUCAUGAGCCUUCUGAGGACCAUCCAGGAACAGGAGAAGAGCUUUACCCCCGAAUGCAUCUUAAAGGGGCGAUUGGAGGCAAAAUCAAGCUCCCCCGUGGUUGCACCCCGUGAAUCCUGCAUCCUUGUCUGUCUGAUGCACUAGCUCAUAAACAAACUGAAGACAGAGGCAGACUCUGACUCGUCGCGUGGCCUUGCAGGUCCCUUCCCCUCUCUGUGCCUGCAUUUCCCCAUCUGUGAGAUGAGGUGGGUCCCUUCGCCCCGAGGGCUCCAGCCCCCACCUUGGGGCGGAUCACUUCCGUUUUCCCCUGAGAACCCCGGUCUUCAAAGAAACUUAGGUGACCAAGACCCUGCCCGCGUGCAACGCACACUGCAGCGGGAGAGGAAGGAACUGGACCCCAAAUAGGUGUUGUUCCAGGGCGACUGUUGACAAGCGCUGUGAGCAGGUACGACUGCGGUCUCAACCAGGUGGGCGGGGGAAACCUCUUGGAGGAGGUGACCUGGAGGCAGUGACAGAUGGGGCAACCAAGAGCAGGGAGAGAAAUCGCCAAGCCUGAGCUGGAUCCAGCCACCCGUGCUCUGCAGAUGCCCAAGGACCAGCGGUGCAUAUGUGAAGUUUGUGUUUUCUCCUCAUUUUAAUAGGAAUACAGCGAUGAGGAACACAGCCUGGGCUGCAACGAACGGAUGGUCUGGUGGCAACAGAAGACAACAAAUUCAUAAGGAAGAUGAUUUCACGUUCAAUCAGUGCCCUAAGCAAAAUACCGCAUGACCACAUGAAAGAGAGUGACCCAGUGAGGUGUGCAAUUUGCCAGAAAGGGCUGGAAAAGAGCUCUGUGUAUCUUAAGGAUAGAAGGGCCCCAGAGGAUGGCCAGGGUGGAUGCGGAUUAAACCUGACUCCCAGCUUGGGCUCCACCUUCUCUAGCUGUGUGGCCACGGGCAAGUUACUCAACCUCUCUGGGCUCUCCUUUCCAUGUCUACAUAAUGGAGUAAGUAACAGUAUCUAGCACUUAAGGCUGUUGUGCAGAUUAAAGAAAUUAGAUGUACACAUAAAAUAUAUCUACACAUGUACAUAGCGCCCUUAGCCAAGAGCCCGACAGGGACCAAGCCCUCAGUGUGCGCUGGGCAGGACGCUUCUUUACCUUCCCGAGCCAGUGUACAGUCCCACGCCGCCUCGAUCCUUCUCUCCCUCCAGCGACUCUGACUUGCGGGGCCAUUCAGCCUGCUUUGCGAAGUGAGGAAGCCACAUUUGAAUUUGUUAGAAAAACAAAAAACAAAAAACAACAAAAGCCCCAAACCAAACAAACACUGCGCACCACGGCCGCUGUUUCCUUCCGCCUGUGCCUUCCACAAUAUGGUGCGGUGGGCCGGGAAAGCUUGGCCACAGAUGGCGUGCUUGGGACCAGCCCUGUUUUCUAAAUACCCGCUUCCUCAGUGUAAAUGAUAAUGCUCAGACACAUGGUGCCGCUUGGCUCCCGGGAGGCUCCGGCGUCGACGCUUUUCUUGGCCUGGCGCCCCGGGUCCGGCUUUCUCCCUCCAGAUGGCAGGCACGAGAAUCCUUCAAGACGCGGGAUGCAGAUGCGGGUUGCAGAUGCGGACGCUCAUGUUAGAGACAGGUCGGUCCCUCGGACCCUCGCGGGGCCACCACUGACUACUUGCUCUCCCAUCCGUGGCCUCAUGGCACAACCUGGGAGAUAGGUCCCCUGCAGGGGGACCCUCGAAAUGACGCCAAGGUGGGCCUGGGACUCGAACGCGGCUCUUGGGCGGCUGUGUUCCUGAAGCAUGCCCCCCUUCCAGGAAGAGUGUGCAUUCUUGGGAGGAUUCCACUGAGCACCCCUCUCAAAGGCAGCAAGGAGAGGGUGGGAGGUGGGGAGAGGCAGGGUGUUCAUCUCACGUCGGAAGGAAGAAAUCUCUGCUUUUGCACCUUCAGGCCUGCCCGCUGCCGGGCAGAGUGGAAAGAAGGCCAGCUUGGCAUCCGUACACACUUGCCUUUGGAUUCUGCCUUCCCUCUGGACUAGUGACUUCACAUGCUGAGCCUCUCCUAGGCCUACUUUCUUCAUCUGUAAAAUGGAAAUGAUGUACUGGGGCAGGGCUUGAGGGAGCAGGCAAGAAGGGGAUGUAUUGUCUUCAGGGAGUUUCAGCAAACAAAUAAAACCAACUCAAACUGGAGUUGGCUUUUUUUUUUCUUUGCAGU